CCUAGUAACGGCGAGUGAACAGGCAAGAGCUCAGAUUUGAAAGCCUUUUUGGCAUUGUAUUCUGAAGUCAGUUUCCUGAGUAUCGGUGUUUAAGUCUUCUGGAAAGGAGCGCCAUGGAGGGUGAUAGCCCCGUACGACACCUCACUCAUUGUAGGAUUCUGACGUGGAGUCGAGUUGUUUGGGAAUGCAGCUCAAAAGGGUGGUAUGCUCCAUCUAAAGCUAAAUAUCUGUGAGAGACCGAUAGCGAACAAGUACUGUGAAGGAAAGAUGAAAAGAACUUUGAAAAGAGAGUGAAAAAGUACGUGAAAUUGUUGAAAUGGAAGGAUAUGCCGCUAACAAUGUAGRGCCGUGUUUGGGGGGAAGACAAAAGCUGAAGAAUGUAUCUSUUUUAGGGAAUUAUAACUUCAGUCAAUAUUCCCAUCCGGGCGCGAGGACCUCAGCU
rnacentral:rRNA from 1 species